rnacentral:rRNA from 1 species
GACGAACGCUGGCGGCGCGCUUAACACAUGCAAGUCGAACGGAAAGGCCUGCUUUCCCUUGUGGAUUGCGGGUACUCGAGUGGCGAACGGGUGAGUAACACGUGAGUGAUCUGCCCCCAACUUGGGUAUAAGCCUGGGAAACUGGGUCUAAUUCCCGAUAGGACUGCAGGGUGGUGCCUGUGGUGGGAAACGAUUUUCUUGUGGUUGGGGAUGAGCUCGCGGCCUAUCAGCUUGGUGGUGGGGUAAUGGCCUACCAAGGCGGCGACGGGUAGCCGGACUGAGAGGGUGGACGGCCACAUUGGGACUGGGAUACGGCCCAGACUCCUACGGGAGGCAGCAGUGGGGAAUAUUGCACAAUGGGCGGAAGCCUGAUGCAGCGACGCCGCGUGGGGGAUGACGGCCUUCGGGUUGUAAACUCCUUUCGACCGAGAGGAAGCCACCUGGUUGGAAGGGUGGUGACGGUAGUGGUAGAAGAAGCACCGGCUAACUACGUG